UAUGGCUGUCGUCAGCUCGUGUCGUGAGAUGUUGGGUUAAGUCCCGCAACGAGCGCAACCCUUGUCCUUAGUUGCCAGCGAGUAAUGUCGGGAACUCUAAGGAGACUGCCGGUGACAAACCGGAGGAAGGUGGGGAUGACGUCAAGUCCUCAUGGCCCUUACGGCCAGGGCUACACACGUACUACAAUGGUCGGUACAGAGGGUUGCAAUACCGCGAGGUGGAGCCAAUCCCAGAAAGCCGAUCCCAGUCCGGAUCGAAGUCUGCAACUCGACUUCGUGAAGUCGGAAUCGCUAGUAAUCGCGGAUCAGCUAUGCCGCGGUGAAUACGUUCCCGGGCCUUGUACACACCGCCCGUA
rnacentral:rRNA from 1 species